GUGAGGAAUAUUGCACAAUGGAGGAAACUCUGAUGCAGCAACGCCGCGUGGAGGAUGACGCAUUUCGGUGUGUAAACUCCUUUUAAGAGGGAAGAUAAUGACGGUACCUCUUGAAUAAGCACCGGCUAACUCCGUGCCAGCAGCCGCGGUAAUACGGAGGGUGCAAGCGUUACUCGGAAUCACUGGGCGUAAAGGGUGCGUAGGCUGGCUUUUAAGUCAGGUGUGAAAUCCAAUGGCUCAACCAUUGAACUGCACUUGAAACUGAGAGCCUAGAGUUCAGAAGGGGCAGAUGGAAUUAGUGGUGUAGGGGUAAAAUCCGUAGAUAUCACUAGGAAUAUCAAAAGCGAAGGCGAUCUGCUGGGAUGAUACUGACGCUGAGGCACGAAAGCGUGGGGAGCAAACAGGAUUAGAUACCCCGGUAGUCC
rnacentral:rRNA from 1 species